AGAAGAUAAUGGCUGGAAUGCUUUAUCUUUGAAAAGUAAUGCCAUAAGAUGAGUCGGCGGCUGAUUAGGUUGUUGGUGAGGUAAUGGCUCACCAAGCCUGUGAUCAGUAUGGGGAAUGAGAGUUCUAGCCCAGAGAAGGACACUGAGAUAAGGGUCCUAGCUCUAAGGAGUGCAGCAGCCGCGAAAACUUUACAAUGCACGAAAGUGUGAUAAGGGAACCCCAGGUGCUCACUCUUAGAGUGGGCUUUUACUAUGUGUAAAUAGCAUGGAGAAUAAGUGGUGGGCAAGACCGGUGCCAGCCGCCGCGGUAACACCGGCGCCACAAGUGGCAAUCACAUUUAUUGGGCCUAAAGCAUCCGUAGCCGAUUAAGAAAAUCUUUUGUGAAAUCGUUAAGCUUAACUUAGCGGCGUGCAAAAGACACUGCUUAGUUAGAGACCGGGAGGAGACAGGAGUAUUCCUUGGGUAGCGGUAAAAUGCUAUAAUCCUUGGAGGACUACCGGUGGCGAAGGCGCCUGUCUAGAACGGGUCUGACGGUGAGGGAUGAAAGCUAGGGGAGCGAAUCGGAUUAGAUACCCGCGUAGUCCUAGCAGUAAACGCUGUGAACUAGGUGUUGCAUAUUCCACGAGAAUAUGCAGUGCCGGAGCGAAGGCAUUAAGUUC
rnacentral:rRNA from 1 species